GAGGGUGUAGCUCAGUGGUGGAGCGCGUGCCUAGCGUGCAGGAGGGCCUGGGUUCAGUCUCCAGUACCUCCU
rnacentral:tRNA from 1 species